rnacentral:snoRNA from 1 species
GGGUAACCAUAGUGUAGGCAAGAGAUUUGAAGCGAUCUCAUGCUUCAUAAAAGGACUCAGUAUCCUUUUAAUAAAAAAUUAGAAAUUUCGGCUCUUAAUUC